rnacentral:rRNA from 1 species
ACUCAAAUGAAUUGACGGGUCCCCGCACAAGCAGCGGAGCGUGUGGUUUAAUUCGAUGCAACGCGAAGAACCUUACCUGGGUUUGACAUGUAUUCGCAACCCUUUGAAAGAAGGGCCUCCGCAAGGACGGAUACACAGAUGUUGCAUGGCUGUCGUCAGCUCGUGUCGUGAGAUGUUGGGUUAAGUCCCUCAACGAGCGCAACCCUUAUUUCUAGUUAUCUAUCUAGAGAGACUGCCGGAAACAAACCGGAGGAAGGCGGGGAUGAUGUCAAGUCAGCAUGACUCUUACACCCAGGGCUACACACACGCUACAAUGGAGGGUACAACGAGAAGCCAACCCGCGAGGGUGAGCAGACCUCUAAAAGCUUUCCUCAGUUCAGAUUGCACUCUGCAACCCGAGUGCAUGAAGUCGGAGUUGCUAGUAACCGCGUGUCAGCAUAGCGCGGUGAAUAUGUUCCCGGGGAUUGUACACACCGCCCGU